rnacentral:tRNA from 1 species
AUUUACCGAAGUAGUUAACGGGCCUGACUUGAAAUCAGGUGGAUUAGUCCUCGCAAGUGCAAAUCUUGCAGU